rnacentral:rRNA from 1 species
AACGAACGCUGGCGGCAGGCCUAACACAUGCAAGUCGAGCGAGGACUUCGGUCCUAGCGGCGGACGGGUGAGUAACGCGUGGGAACGUGCCCUUUGCUUCGGAAUAGCCCUGGGAAACUGGGAGUAAUACCGGAUGAGCCCUUUGGGGGAAAGAUUUAUCGGCGAAGGAUCGGCCCGCGUUGGAUUAGGUAGUUGGGGGGGGAAUGGCCUACCAAGCCGACGAUCCAUAGCUGGGUAGAGAGGAAGGGCAGACACACUUUGGCUGGGAAGCGGCCCGGACUCCUACGGGAGGGAGCAGUGGGGAAUCUUAGAAAAUGGGGGAAGCCAUGAACGAGCCAUGCCGGGUGAGCGAUGAAGGCCUUAGAGUUGUAAAGCUCUUUCAGCUGGGAAGAUAAUGACGGUACCGGCAGAAGAAGCCCCGGCUAACUACGUG